UUCUCGACUUCUCGUUGUUUUGAAUCCUUUUUUAAAAUGUUUUCGAGAUAAACUUUCUGCCUUUGACCAUUUGGUCAAAGAUAUCCAAGUCGUAUGUGUUUAAUCUCGCCCGUGAAAGACGACAAACUAAUUUUAAAAACUCAAGAAAUGUGGGAAAAGACGAUACUUGAAAUAUAUGGAUUUACACUCGGAUUUACAAAGGUAAAAAACGUGUUUUCAUAUUCAAUUUUAUUUAGACUUUUAUAUCUUAUUUGACAUCUACUAUCAGACUAUCUUUUAAAAGAGGGAACUUAGGUUUUGUGUUAUGCACCACUUAAUUUUAUGUAUAAGCUGG